GUACUAGCGUUUUACCAACUGAAGAACGAGUAAAAGGUUGCAACCUUUAUAUAUAGCGUGUCACGCGGCCGUUGCCUGGCGUGUGUAGUAUUGAUGAAGGGCUAUCGAGUUACGAAAGACUAUAUUGAAAGAAUUUCGCUUGUAUGUGUCAAGGCAACGAACUAUCAACUAGAGAAUGUAUCUUGGGAGAAAGUCAAUCGAAUGUUUGAGACAUCGUGAUCGCACUGCGUAAAUGAACUCGCAACGCUAUCUGUGAACAAAGAAUUAAAUUAUAAACGAAUAGAGUUCUCAAAGCUUGGGACAAUUUACGGGGCAAUACUGUAUUUGAAUCUCACGAAUGAUAAUUUUAAUAUACACACACUCAUUACACUAUCGCGUGAAUUGCUUUUAAUAUGAAUUUAGUUCCGACAAUUCUACCAGAAGACACCUUCUAUAAACCGGGAAUGAAAUAUAAACUGACCGGUUGCAUACUUAAACGGAAAAAUAUAUAUUGUUAAAAUAUUUACCAAGGACGAUUGGAUAUGAGAAAGAAAUAACUUAGAUAGAUACUUUGUUAGCUUUUGGUUAUUUUUGUGGACCGUAUCAAAUUAGCAGUUCUAUUACUCACGAUGUUUCAUUAUCGGCAAUUCGUGUAAACUUUUUAGAGCAUUAUGCUGUCUCGUCUUCACGUUAUUUUUUUCUCAACAACUUUGCACGUGAGCAGGAGGACAAAGCCUUUACCAACCAAGGAAAAUAAAACACCGACAGGCGGUGCGGAGCUCCACCCACCCUUGGACCAGAAUGAUCAAGAAAAGGGAUUUUAGAACUAGAAAGAAACGAAGAGCCGAAAAUCGUGAGCGAGGAAGAGUUUUCGAAGCAGAAUAUUUAUUAAUUUUCGAGAAAUAUUGUUUUUCUUUUCCAACCGGUUAAUUUUGAACGAAAAAUACAAGUCUUCGAAUAAGCAACCGUUUUGAAUUACGGAAGUAAUCAAUUCAAUCUUCGCGGUCUCCGGUGAACACUGAUUUAGCAUUUCACGGAAACCAACCCACUCAUCUUUUCCCUAAAGUCACGAGUAGAUAUAGCACAAUAGUUUUUAUGAUGUUAGUAUGAUUUUGUAUGGUAUUUACUUUUAUGAUGUUAUCGUAUAAGAUAAUUACUUUUGUUUUAUAUGAUUUUAGUACACAGUAUUUAUGGACCACAAAACUAUUUAAACGCUUAUAUUAGAGAAGUCUUUUAUGAAUUGAUUUAUUGCGUGCUAUACAGAAUAUUUUGAAAUUUCUGUAACGCAUUAUUAUCAUGAUUAUACUGAUAAAGUUAAAAACGAAUUUGGAAAUAUAUAUAGAAGUUACAAGAUAUUUAUUGCAAACAUACAGUUAGCGUCAGUUACAUGUUUAAGGUCAUUAUUAAUGCUAAUUAAUACUAUACUAAUUUUUUAUCAAAUAUAUGUUUGCAAUAAAUAUUUGGUUACUUGCAUUUACAUUUAUGAAUCGUUUUGAAAUUUUACCAAUAUAGUCACGAUAGUUGUAUCCUAUUACAGUGCUAAAGAAAUAUCAAUAAAUUUCUAUGAAAAGUGUUGGAAUAUUUUCAUGAGCCACUGUAAGUCUAUUGUAAGCGAAUUUUUGUAAAUUGUGUAAUAAAAGGUAAUAUGAAAUUUUCUUAAUUUCA